CAGAAGGAAACACAAACGCUCUAGUUGGGCCAUUUGUAUUCUCUUUCUCCUCUUUUCACUUUGUCUCUCACUCGAUUUUUCAGUUGGUAGUAAAAAAAAGAGGCGGGGUUGAACAUUCAACAUUUGUUCACCAUGUGCACUGACCUCUCUAAAUCUCUUUAAUUCUUCACUUGGCCGGACCUCAAAUUCACACUUCAUACGCAAAAGGAUUCAGAUUAUGGGAAAUCACUCAUGCUUCAUGAGAAGAAAAGACACAUAUCAAGACGACGCAGGACAGGUGAGUAUGUCACACUCACACACAUAACACAUAUAACUUUAGUUUAAAAAUUGCUGGUUACAAGGUCGAGGUUAGAGCCAAAAAAACAAAAAAACAAAUUAGAAACAUGCAUGAAUACAGAUAAAUGAAUUGCAGUUUUAUUUCUUUUAAUAGUAAACACAUGAUGUUAGAUUCUAGAAGUUUUGAACUCUACAGUAUGUCUUUAAUAUCAGUUCAGUUGUGCAAAUUGUCUCACAUUUCUAAUAAUGUCAGGUUCUCACUGACAUUUAUAUAUAGUCCUAUAUGCGCAGUGAACUAUAAUCUGGAAACACAAUCACAAUCACCUACUUAAUAUGGCAUCACACUGAAUAAUUUACCCCCCAAAAUGUUCUAGUGAUUUCAAUUCCCUUCUCCUGGUUACUGAUUAACAAUCAGAAAGACAACUUCACUUUUUAUUCAUAUAU